ensembl:lncRNA
CCCCAUAGGGCUGCAUUGCCCACAGCGCCCCUGGCGGUGACACAGCGAAACUGCAAACACACAGCGCCCCCAUAGGGCGGCAUUGCCCACAGCGCCCCCAUAGGGCUGCAUUGCCCACAGCGUCCCCUGGUGGUAAUACAGCGACACUGCACCCACAGCGCCCCCAUAGGGCUGCAUUGCCCACAGCGCCCCCUGGCGGUGACUGAGCGGCACUGCACCCACAGCGCCCCCAUAGGGCUGCAUUGCCCACAGCGCCCCUGGCGGUGACACAGCGAAACUGCAAACACACAGCGCCCCCAUAGGGCGGCAUUGCCCACAGCGCCCCCAUAGGGCUGCAUUGCCCACAGCGCCCCCUGGCGGUGACUGAGCGGCACUGCACCCACAGCGCCCCCAUAGGGCUGCAUUGCCCACAGCGCCCCUGGCGGGCUGCAUUGCCCACAGCGCCCCCUGGCGGUGACUGAGCGGCACUGCACCCCGCAGCGAAGCGGCGGCUCUUUUAUUUCCCACUGCGUUUCCCCGACGCCGUUUUGGGGUUUUUUUGUCGUUUUUUGUCGUUUUGGUGGUUUUUUUUGGGGGGGGGGGGGGGGGGGGGGCGGUCACGGAAGGGCCGUUAUUAUUGGGGGGGGGGUCUGUAAUAAUAACGACCCCCCCACACCCCAAUAUCUGACCUAUGGGGGCGGUUGGAGGACCGACAAUAAUAACGCCCCUCCCCCAUUGUCUGAUAUAUGGGGGGGCAUUUAAAGGGCAGUGCGGAGUUAUUUUGGGGGGGGGGGUAAUAAAA